rnacentral:rRNA from 1 species
UGAACGCUAGCGGCAGGCUUAACACAUGCAAGUCGAGGGGCAGCAAGGAUUGUGCUUGCACAAUCUGUUGGCGACCGGCGCACGGGUGCGUAACGCGUAUGCAACCUACCUUUAACAGGGGGAUAACACUGAGAAAUUGGUACUAAUACCCCAUAACACUUUGAAAGGCAUCUUUCGGAGUUGAAAGUUCCGGCGGUUAGAGAUGGGCAUGCGUUGUAUUAGCUAGAUGGUGAGGUAACGGCUCACCAUGGCGACGAUACAUAGGGGGACUGAGAGGUUAACCCCCCACAUUGGUACUGAGACACGGACCAAACUCCUACGGGAGGCAGCAGUGAGGAAUAUUGGUCAAUGGACGCAAGUCUGAACCAGCCAUGCCGCGUGCAGGAUGACGGCUCUAUGAGUUGUAAACUGCUUUUGUAUUAGGGUAAACCUUAGUACGUGUACUAAGCUGAAAGUAUAAUACGAAUAAGGAUCGGCUAACUCCGUG